rnacentral:rRNA from 1 species
AUUGAACGCUGGCGGCAUGCCUUACACAUGCAAGUCGAGCGCGAAAGGGGGCAACCCCGAGUAGAGCGGCGGACGGGUGAGUAACGCAUCGGAACGUGCCCAGUAGUGGGGGACAACCUCGAGAAAUCGAGGCUAAUACCGCAUACGACCCACGGGUGAAAGCGGGGGACCGCAAGGCCUCGCGCUAUUGGAGCGGCCGAUGUCCGAUUAGCUAGUUGGCGGGGUAAGAGCCCACCAAGGCGACGAUCGGUAGCUGGUCUGAGAGGACGACCAGCCACACUGGGACUGAGACACGGCCCAGACUCCUACGGGAGGCAGCAGUGGGGAAUUUUGGAC